rnacentral:rRNA from 1 species
AUUGAACGCUGGCGGCAGGCCUAACACAUGCAAGUCGAACGAGUGGCGGACGUGUGAGUUAUGUCUGGGAAACUGCCUGGUGGGGGGGGAUAAAUACUGGACACGGUCGCUUAUCCCGCAUUACAUCAUAUGUGCCCAGAUGGGAUUAGCUUGUUGGUGGGGUAACGGCUCACCAAGGCGACGAUCCCUAUCUGGUCUGAGAGGAUGACCAGCCACACUGGAACUGAGACACGGUCCAGACUCCUACGGGAGGCAGCAGUGGGGAAUAUUGCACAAUGGGCGCAAGCCUGAUGCAGCCAUGCCGCGUGUAUGAAGAAGGCCUUCGGGUUGUAAAGUACUUUCAGCGGGGAGGCGUUACCCGCAGAAGAAGCACCGGCUAACUCCGUGCCAGCAGCCGCGGUAAUAC